GAUGAACGCUGGCGGCGUGCCUAAUACAUGCAAGUCGAGCGAACGGACGAGAAGCUUGCUUCUCUGAUGUUAGCGGCGGACGGGUGAGUAACACGUGGAUAACCUACCUAUAAGACUGGGAUAACUUCGGGAAACCGGAGCUAAUACCGGAUAAUAUUUUGAACCGCAUGGUUCAAAAGUGAAAGACGGUCUUGCUGUCACUUAUAGAUGGAUCCGCGCUGCAUUAGCUAGUUGGUAAGGUAACGGCUUACCAAGGCGACGAUGCAUAGCCGACCUGAGAGGGUGAUCGGCCACACUGGAACUGAGACACGGUCCAGACUCCUACGGGAGGCAGCAGUAGGAAAUCUUCCGCAAUGGGCGAAGGCCUGACGGAGCAACGCCGCGUGAGUGAUGAAGGUCUUCGGAUCGUAAAACUCUGUUAUUAGGGAAGAACAUAUGUGUAAGUAACUGUGCACAUCUUGACGGUACCUAAUCAGAAAGCCACGGCUAACUACGUGCCAGCAGCCGCGGUAAUACGUAGGUGGCAAGCGUUAUCCGGAAUUAUUGGGCGUAAAGCGCGCGUAGGCGGUUUUUUAAGUCUGAUGUGAAAGCCCACGGCUCAACCGUGGAGGGUCAUUGGAAACUGGAAAACUUGAGUGCAGAAGAGGAAAGUGGAAUUCCAUGUGUAGCGGUGAAAUGCGCAGAGAUAUGGAGGAACACCAGUGGCGAAGGCGACUUUCUGGUCUGUAACUGACGCUGAUGUGCGAAAGCGUGGGGAUCAAACAGGAUUAGAUACCCUGGUAGUCCACGCCGUAAACGAUGAGUGCUAAGUGUUAGGGGGUUUCCGCCCCUUAGUGCUGCAGCUAACGCAUUAAGCACUCCGCCUGGGGAGUACGACCGCAAGGUUGAAACUCAAAGGAAUUGACGGGGACCCGCACAAGCGGUGGAGCAUGUGGUUUAAUUCGAAGCAACGCGAAGAACCUUACCAAAUCUUGACAUCCUUUGACAACUCUAGAGAUAGAGCCUUCCCCUUCGGGGGACAAAGUGACAGGUGGUGCAUGGUUGUCGUCAGCUUGUGUCGUGAGAUGUUGGGUUAAGUCCCGCAACGAGCGCAACCCUUAAGCUUAGUUGCCAUCAUUAAGUUGGGCACUCUAAGUUGACUGCCGGUGACAAACCGGAGGAAGGUGGGGAUGACGUCAAAUCAUCAUGCCCCUUAUGAUUUGGGCUACACACGUGCUACAAUGGACAAUACAAAGGGCAGCGAAACCGCGAGGUCAAGCAAAUCCCAUAAAGUUGUUCUCAGUUCGGAUUGUAGUCUGCAACUCGACUACAUGAAGCUGGAAUCGCUAGUAAUCGUAGAUCAGCAUGCUACGGUGAAUACGUUCCCGGGUCU
rnacentral:rRNA from 1 species